rnacentral:rRNA from 1 species
UACGAAGGGGGCUAGCGUUGCUCGGAAUCACUGGGCUUAAAGGGCGCGUAGGCGGGCGACCAAGUCAGGGGUGAAAUCGUUCGGCCCAACCGGACAAGGGCCCCUGAUACUGGUUGUCUCGAGGGAGGUAGGGGUCGAUGGAACUUCCGGUGGAGCGGUGAAAUGCGUAGAUAUCGGAAGGAACGCCGGUGGCGAAAGCGAUCGACUGGACCUCUUCUGACGCUGAGGCGCGAAAGCCAGGGGAGCAAACGGG